rnacentral:rRNA from 1 species
GUUUGAUCCUGGCUCAGAGUGAACGCUGGCGGUAGGCCUAACACAUGCAAGUCGAACGGCAGCACAGGAGAGCUUGCUCUCUGGGUGGCGAGUGGCGGACGGGUGAGGAACACAUCGGAAUCUACCUUUUCGUGGGGGAUAACGUAGGGAAACUUACGCUAAUACCGCAUACGACCUACGGGUGAAAGUGGGGGACCGCAAGGCCUCACGCGAUUAGAUGAGCCGAUGUCCGAUUAGCUAGUUGGCGGGGUAAUGGCCCACCAAGGCGACGAUCGGUAGCUGGUCUGAGAGGAUGAUCAGCCACACUGGAACUGAGACACGGUCCAGACUCCUACGGGAGGCAGCAGUGGGGAAUAUUGGACAAUGGGCGCAAGCCUGAUCCAGCCAUACCGCGUGGGUGAAGAAGGGCCUCGGGUUGGUUAAAGGACCCGUUUUCGUUUGGGUAAAGGUAAAGUACCUGUCGAUUAAUACUCGUGGGAGUGACGGUA